GAAAUGCGAUAAGUAAUGUGAAUUGCAGAAUUCAGUGAAUCAUCGAAUCUUUGAACGCACAUUGCGCCCGCCAGUAUUCUGGCGGGCAUGACUGUUCGAGCGUCAUUACAACCCUCAGGCCCCCGGGCCUGGCGUUGGGGAUCGGCGGAAGCCCCCUGCGGGCACAACGCCGUCCCCCAAAUACAGUGGCGGUCCCGCCGCAGCUUCCAUUGCGUAGUAGCUAACACCUCGCAACUGGAGAGCGGCGCGGCCACGCCGUAAAACACCCAACUUCUGAAUGUUGACCUCGAAUCAGGUAGGAAUACCCGCUGAACUUAAGC
rnacentral:misc_RNA from 1 species